AUACUUACCUGGACGGGGUUUCUGGGCGAUCAAGAAGGCCCAUGGCCAAGAUUGGUGACCUCCAUUGCACUUGGGAGGGGUGCCCAUCUAUGGUCUCCCAUACGUGGGAGAGCCAACGUCAUAAUUUGUUGCAAGGGGGCCUGCGUUCGCGCAACCCCCAC
rnacentral:snRNA from 1 species